GGGUCAGUAGGUUGGUCGUGCCACCGGUACGUACUGGUCUCACUGAUUCCUCCUUCCUGAAGAACCGUAAUGCCAUUAAUUUGGUGUUGCGGGGAAACAGGACUGUUACUUUGAAAAAAUUAGAGUGUUUAAAGCAGGCUAACGCUUGAAUACAUUAGCACGGAAUAAUGAAAUAGGACGAUCGAUCCUAUUUUGUUGGUUUCUAGGAUUGACGUA
rnacentral:rRNA from 1 species